rnacentral:pre_miRNA from 12 species
GCCCCAGUGAGGGGCACCUCGAGGACUGUCUAACCUGAGAAUGGUGAAACAUCAAGGUCAAUCUCAGGUUCGUCAGCCCAUGAGAUGCCUUCUCCAGAGCG